GUUAUCCCGCAAGGGAUAACUGAGUGGCGAACGGGUGAGUAACACGUGGGUGACCUACCUUCGAGUGGGGGAUAACGUCCCGAAAGGGACGCUAAUACCGCAUAACAUCCUACUUUUGAACAGGUGGAGAUCAAAGCCGGGGACCGCAAGGCCCGGCGCUUGGAGAGGGGCUCGCGUCCGAUUAGCUAGUUGGUGGGGUAAUGGCCCACCAAGGCAACGAUCGGUAGCCGGCCUGAGAGGGCGGACGGCCACACUGGGACUGAGACACGGCCCAGACUCCUACGGGAGGCAGCAGUGGGGAAUAGUUCGACAAUGGGCGCAAGCCUGAUCGACAGCAAUGCCGCGUGAGUGAUGAAGGUCCUUAGGGAUUGUAAACUCCUGUUGCCCGGGACGAUAUGGACCUAAUACCGGGAGGGACGGGAGGAAGCCCCGGCUAACUCCGUGCCAGCAGCCGCGGUAAUACAGAGGGGGCUAAGCGUUGUUCGGAAUUACUGGGCGUAAAGGCGCCGUAGGCGGCUUGCUAAGUUAGAAGGUGAAAUCCCCGGGCUCAACCCGGAAUUGCCGUUACGAUACUGCAUCGCUAGAAUUCGUGGAGAGGGAUGGGAAUUCCAGGUGUAGAGGUGAAAUGUCGUAGAUAUUCGGAGAACACCAGUGGCGAAGGCGACUUACUGGACAGCAUUGACGCUGAGGUGCGAAAGCAGUGGGGAGCAAACAGGAUUAGAUACCCUGGUAGUCCACGGCCGUAAACGAUGAAUGACUAGGCUGUCUGGGCGCGGUAUCGAUUCAUGGUGGCGCAGCUAACGCAUUAAGUCAUCCGCCUGGGGAGUACGGCUCGCAAGGUGAAACUCAAAGGAAUUGACGGGGGCCUGCACAAGCGGUGGAGCAUGUGGUUUAAUUCGAAGCAACGCGCAGAACCUUACCAGGCUUUGAACGGCAUGACGGUUCCUACGAAGAUAGGAUUCCCGCCUUACGGGACCGUGUACCGAGGUGCUGCAUGGCUGUCGUCAGCUCGUGUCGUGAGAUGUUGGGUUAAGUCCCGCAACGAGCGCAACCCUCGUCUUUAGUUGCUACCAUUUAGUUGGGCACUCUAAAGAAACUGCCGGUGAUAAGCCGGAGGAAGGUGGGGAUGACGUCAAGUCCUCAUGGCCCUUACGCGCUGGGCUACACACGUGCUACAAUGGCGGUGACAAAGGGCAGCAAACCCGCGAGGGCGAGCAAAUCCCAAAAAGCCGUCUCAGUUCGGAUUGUUCUCUGCAACUCGAGAGCAUGAAGGCGGAAUCGCUAGUAAUCGCGGAUCAGCACGCCGCGGUGAAUACGUUCCCAGGCCUUGUACACACCGCCCGUCACACCAUGGGAGUUGGUUUCACCCGAAGACGGUGCGCUAACCCGCAAGGGAGGCAGCCGGCCACGGUGGGAUCAGCGACUGGGGUG
rnacentral:rRNA from 1 species